rnacentral:rRNA from 1 species
AACGAACGCUGGCGGCAGGCCUAACACAUGCAAGUCGAGCGCCCCGCAAGGGGACCGGCAGACGGGCGAGUAACGCGUGGGAAUCUACCCAUCUCUACGGAACAACCCCGGGAAACUGGCGCCAAUACCGUAUACGUCCUUUUGGAGAAAGAUUUAUCGGGGAUGGAUGAGCCCGCGUUGGAUUAGCUAGUUGGUGUGGUAAUGGCCUACCAAGGCGACGAUACAUAGAUGGUCUGAGAGGAUGAUCAGCCACACUGGGACUGAGAGGCGGCCCAGACUCCUACGGGAGGCAGCAGUGGGGAAUAUUGGACAAUGGGCGCAAGAAUGAUCCAGCCAUGCCGCGUGAGUGAUGAAGGCCUUAGGGUUGUAAAGCUCUUUCAACGGUGAAGAUAAUGACGGUAACCGUAGAAGAAGCCCCGGCUAACUUCGUGCCAGCCGCCGCGGUAACAC